GGAGAUGUGGCUUAAUGGUAGAGCAUUUGCCUGGCAUGUAGAAGGCUCCCCAUCUUCA
rnacentral:tRNA from 1 species